UGGCUAACUCCUACGGGAGGCAGCAGUGGGGAAUAUUGGACAAUGGACCGAGAGUCUGAUCCAGCAAUUCUGUGUGCACGAUGAAGUUUUUCGGAAUGUAAAGUGCUUUCAGUUGGGAAGAAAGAAAUGACGGUACCAACAGAAGAAGUGACGGCUAAAUACGUGCCAGCAGCCGCGGUAAUACGUAUGUCACGAGCGUUAUCCGGAUUUAUUGGGCGUAAAGCGCGUCUAGGUGGUUAUGUAAGUCUGAUGUGAAAAUGCAGUGCUCAACUCUGUAUUGCGUUGGAAACUGUAUAACUAGAGUACUGGAGAGGUAAGCGGAACUACAAGUGUAGAGGUGAAAUUCGUAGAUAUUUGUAGGAAUGCCGAUGGGGAAGCCAGCUUACUGGACAGAUACUGACGCUAAAGCGCGAAAGCGUGGGUAGCAAACAGGAUUAGAAACCCGGGUAGUCCAGCUGG
rnacentral:rRNA from 1 species